GGGGGAUAUUGCACAAUGGGGGAAACCCUGAUGCAGCGACGCCGCGUGGAGGAAGAAGGUUUUCGGAUUGUAAACUCCUGUCGUUAGGGACGAUAAUGACGGUACCUAACAAGAAAGCACCGGCUAACUACGUGCCAGCAGCCGCGGUAAAACGUAGGGUGCAAGCGUUGUCCGGAAUUACUGGGUGUAAAGGGAGCGCAGGCGGACCGGCAAGUUGGAAGUGAAAACUAUGGGCUCAACCCAUAAAUUGCUUUCAAAACUGCUGGCCUUGAGUAGUGCAGAGGUAGGUGGAAUUCCCGGUGUAGCGGUGGAAUGCGUAGAUAUCGGGAGGAACACCAGUGGCGAAGGCGACCUACUGGGCACCAACUGACGCUGAGGCUCGAAAGCAUGGGUAGCAAACAGGAUUAGAUACCCUGGUAGUCCAUGCCGUAAACGAUGAUUACUAGGUGUUGGAGGAUUGACCCCUUCAGUGCCGCAGUUAACACAAUAAGUAAUCCACCUGGGGAGUACGACCGCAAGGUUGAAACUCAAAGGAAUUGACGGGGGCCCGCACAAGCAGUGGAGUAUGUGGUUUAAUUCGAAGCAACGCGAAGAACCUUACCAGGUCUUAACAUCCGAUGCAUAGUGCAGAGAUGCAUGAAGUCCUUCGGGACAUCGAGACAGGUGGUGCAUGGUUGUCGUCAGCUCGUGUCGUGAGAUGUUGGGUUAAGUCCCGCAACGAGCGCAACCCUUAUUGCCAGUUACUACGAAAGAGGACUCUGGCGAGACUGCCGUUGACAAAACGGAGGAAGGUGGGGAUGACGUCAAAUCAUCAUGCCCUUUAUGACCUGGGCUACACACGUACUACAAUGGCGUUUAACAAAGAGAAGCAAGACCGCGAGGUGGAGCAAAACUCAAAAACAACGUCUCAGUUCAGAUUGCAGGCUGCAACUCGCCUGCAUGAAGUCGGAAUUGCUAGUAAUCGCGGAUCAGCAUGCCGCGGUGAAUACGUUCCCG
rnacentral:rRNA from 1 species